GACGAACGCUGGCGGCGUGCUUAACACAUGCAAGUCGAACGGUAAGGCCCUUCGGGGUACACGAGUGGCGAACGGGUGAGUAACACGUGGGUGAUCUGCCCUGCACUUCGGGAUAAGCCUGGGGAACUGGGUCUAAUACCGGAUAGGACCACUGCCUGCAUGGGUGGUGGUGGAAAGCUUUUGCGGUGUGGGAUGGGCCCGCGGCCUCUCAGCUUGUUGGGGGGGUGAUGGCCUACCAAGGCGACGACGGGUAGCCGGCCUGAGAGGGUGACCGGCCACACUGGGGAUGAGAUACGGCCCAGACUCCUACGGGAGGCAGCAGUGGGGAAUAUUGCACAAUGGGCGCAAGCCUGAUGCAGCGACGCCGCGUGAGGGAUGACGGCCUUCGGGUUGUAUACCUCUUUCAGCACCGACGAAGCGCAAGUGACGGUAGGUGCAGAAGAAGGACCGGCCAACUACGUGCCAGCCGCCGCCGUAA
rnacentral:rRNA from 1 species